CCGUUAUACCUUCGAUCGUUCAAGCUCACGUGGCCCUCGUGGUCCAUGUUCUCGCUCCGCCGCUCCGAUAACGACUAUAACAAAAUGGCUAGAGUAAUGGCGGGUUCACACAUACAUGGGUCUUUUUCUUUUUUGGCAUUGCACUGCCUAACGUGCACUCCGAAAUUUGCCAGCCUGCAUCUUGCCCCAGUCUAGCAGGCGAGCACCGUGCCUGCAAACAAUCCCGUUCCAAAGCAAAGGAACCCAUAAAAUGGGGAUUUUUCUGUUUACUCCCGAAACUGAUAAAAAUUCCUUACCAGCUUUCCCAGAUUUCCUGAACGGUGCCUUUUCCUUUUUGUAGGAGUGUUAAAUCUCACAAUGCUGCAGAGAGUGGAGAGAGAGAAGGAGGGAGGGAGAGACUGCAGCAGUUCUAAAGCCAAAGGACAGGAAAGUAUGUUGCUUCCUAGAGAGGCUCUAUAUUGCCCCUAUGUGCUGGAAGAAGCAAAAGGCAUUUUUGCUAAAACUGAUUGAGUCAUUCCCACUGUUUCCUUUCAUCUAGAGUCCAAGAAGGCUUAUGAGACAUACUAUAUGGGCAGAAUGGUAUAAUAAAAUUAAAAUUAAAAAAAGAAAGAUUAACUAGAUUGUGAAUCAAGGAUAUUGUAUUUGAUGCAUGACUACUCAUACUUGAAGUUUCACUUCAUUCAGGGAAAAUUAUUUUCUAAUAGUUUAGAACUCUACCAGAACUGUACCUCAAAAACCGUUCAAGUCUGCAUGAGUCAUUGUUAUCCUAAUUAAAUGUGCAUUAAUCUAAACAAAUGUGCCAGUACAUAGGGAAUACUGUAAUAUCAAAUGCAUAUUUAUUUAUUUAUUUGUAUUUCACCUUUAUUAUUUUAGAAGUUAUUCAAGACACAACAUAUCCAAUACAUAUAAGUAGUUUUCACACAUUUUUAUAUAAUAAUACAAAUACAUAAUUCAUGAAUAGGACAUAGUGUAAGACUAGUGGGAUCUAAAUCAGUUACUGUAUAUAGAAAGAAAGAAUAAUAAUAAACAGAAGUUAUUUCAUCCCACUCAUUGCAAGAUUUCCAUUACUUAAUAACAAUCUAUCACUGAACUCCUAAUCUUGUAGAGACAGGGACUCAAAAGCAGGUUUCUCCUGGGAUAUGGUGAGAUGAGUCAAUUUUACCUAAUUGAGGACCUUCAAGUACCUUGGUGUCAAACUAUGUGGGGCCCUAAAGGUUAAAAGCAUUUUAAAUUGAACCCGGAAGCUAAUAGGAAGCCAAUGCACAGGCCAGAGCACAGAUGCCAUUUGCCCAUGUUGACAAACUCCAGAUUGUCCGGGCUUUUGUGUUCUUGAUUAUCUGAAACUUCAAAGUCAGAAUUUCCCAAACUGUAAAAUGUACUUUUCUUGUAGAGACGCAGAGUCCAGGGGCUGUGUGAAGAGCCUUUUAGUUGUGCAUUGUUACAAUAAAUCCAUCUUCCCAAAAUACAGUUCUAAGUGAUGUGUUUGUUUUAAUGUUUGGAUUUUUAGUGGAGGUAUGUACAUUAGAAUUACCCUAAAUGGAAUUAUGAUGGCAAAAAAAAAAAAAAUCCCUGUUCUAAGUGGUCCAAGUAAGUAUGAUUGGGGCAUGAGUUACUGUUGCAAGAACCUCUCGUUCUAUUAGGAUGAUAACUGGUGACCAACUAGAGCCAUGAUGGCAAACCUAUGGCACGUGUGCCAGAGGUGGUACGGAGAGCCCUAUUGCACCAUUGCCAGCUGCUCUUCUGGUUUAUGACGCACGCAUGCACACCAGCUAGCUGGUCUUCAGGUUUCUGGGGCUCUGGUGUGCACGUUCUGGUUUGGGCACUUGGUGCCAAAAAGGUUCACCAUCACUGACCUAGAAUUUGGCAAAGGCAUCCAUCAUUCCAUCUCAGAAAUAGCUAUGAGUCCAGGAUGUCCAUGAUGCUGCCCCAUCAAAGAUGAAACCAGAUCACUUAAAACAACCCCAGUAAACAAACAGAAACUCUGUCUUGUAGGGAUUCAACCUCAAUUUGUUUCCAGAUCCUGACAGCUCCAGACACUGACAUUAGAUAUUGACAGCAUCUUCCAUCUGAUUGAAGCUGGAAGUGUGCAACUGGGUAUCAUCAGCAACCAACAGAUGAUCUUUCCCAGCAGUUUCAAGAAUAGGUUAAAGAGCAGCAGAAAUGUACCAAAUUCUGUGGCAUAGCUUAAUGGAAUCACUGCCUUGCUGAUCUCUCAUUUGUGCCUUCAUUGCUUGGAAUAACCCACAAAACAGUGUCCUUAAUUGUCAAACCCAGUUCAAAAGAAUACCAGUCACAUCAUUUCAAAGGCCACUGAAAGAUCUAAAAGGAUGAGGGGCAUAAUAUCUCCAUCCAAGUUCAUUCACAAGAACAACCAAUACUGCCCAUUCCUUGUGUAAGUAUAUGUAGAAAAAAAUAAUAAUUCUCUACAGUAUAUACAGUACGUCUGCAAAUUAAUUUUAAUGCUAAAACAAAAGGUAUGUUCCUAAAAGUUAUGCUAUUUAAAAUAUUUAUAUUCCCACUUGAAUAGACUUCAGCAGCACAGACAGAUUGCUAAAUUUGUAGAGUUUGUCUAAUGCUGCUAAACUACCUUUUAUAAUACUAUAUACAAAUUAGCUUUAUAUUAUUGAAGUUAUGCUUUCAAUUAAUAAAUGAUUAAAUUUUCUCAGGUGUGGUAAAAUAGUA